AUACUUACCUGGCAGGGGAGAUACCAUAAUCCCGAAGGUGGUCUUCCCAGGCCAAGGCUUAUCCAUUGCACUCUGGAUGUGCUGACUCAUGCAGUUUCCCCAAAUGCAGGAAACUGGACUGCAGAAUUUGUGGUAGUGGGGACUGCGUUCUCACUCUCCCCU